CAAGGCAUGGUUUGGGCCAGACAAUAACAGGAAUGUCCCCAGAAAAAAGAGAGGAUUCAAUAAAUGGGGAUUUUAGUGGAUUUCAUCCCCAGCUCUUGGAUCCCCUUUCCCACAGCCUGAGGGCACAAAGAUUUGUUUCAGCACGAUUUGAGGAGCAAAGAUUCCCAGACUGAACAGAUUUGCUGUUAUUCCUUGUGGCAGGAUGAGGGCUGCCCACGUGAGGUGGUUUGGAUGGCUGGAAAACCCUGGAAAUGCCCCAGGAGCAGAAGUGCAGGAGGACAAGGAGGGUUCUCAGCCCCAAAUGCUCGGCCCAGGCCGAGGGCACUGCA